rnacentral:rRNA from 1 species
AGAGCGAACGCUGGCGGCAGGCUUAACACAUGCAAGUCGAGCGGGCGUAGCAAUACGUCAGCGGCAGACGGGUGAGUAACGCGUGGGAACGUACCUUUUGGUUCGGAACAACACAGGGAAACUUGUGCUAAUACCGGAUAAGCCCUUACGGGGAAAGAUUUAUCGCCGAAAGAUCGGCCCGCGUCUGAUUAGCUAGUUGGUGAGGUAACGGCUCACCAAGGCGACGAUCAGUAGCUGGUCUGAGAGGAUGAUCAGCCACAUUGGGACUGAGACACGGCCCAAACUCCUACGGGAGGCAGCAGUGGGAAUAUUGGACAAUGGGCGCAAGCCUGAUCCAGCCAUGCCGCGUGAGUGAUGAAGGCCCUAGGGUUGUAAAGCUCUUUUGUGCGGGAAGAUAAUGACGGUACCGCAAGAAUAACGCCCCGGCUAACUUCGCGCCAGCAGCCGC